GUACCCUUAGCUCAGUUGGUUAGAGCAGACGGCUCAUAACCGUCCAGUCGUAGGUUCGAGUCCUACAGGGUACA
rnacentral:tRNA from 3 species